rnacentral:rRNA from 1 species
ACUCCUACGGGAGGCAGCAGUGGGGAAUAUUGCACAAUGGGGAAACCCUGAUGCAGCCAUGCCGCGUGUGUGAAGAAGGCCUGGUUGUAAGCACUUCAGUAGGAGGAAGGUAGUGUAGUUAACACCUGCACUAUUUGUACGUUACCUACAGAAGAAGCACCGGCUAACUCCGUGCCAGCAGCCGCGGUAAUACGGAGGGUGCGAGCGUUAAUCGGAAUUACUGGGCGUAAAGCGCAUGCAGGCGGCCUGUUAAGUCAGAUGUGAAAGCCCGGGGGCUUAACCUCGGAAUUGCAUUUGAAACUGGCAGGCUAGAGUCUGUAGAGGGGGUAGAAUUUUCG